UACGUAGGGGGCAAGCGUUGUCCGGAUUAUUGGGCGUAAAGAGCUCGUAGGUGGUUCGGUAAGUCGGAUGUGAAAUCUCCAGGCUCAACCUGGAGGGGUCAUUCGAUACUGCCGUGACUAGAGUUCGGUAGGGGAGUGUGGAAUUCCUGGUGGAGCGGUGAAAUGCGCAGAUAUCAGGAGGAACACCCGUAGCGAAGGCGGCACUCUGGGCCGAUACUGACACUGAGGAGCGAAAGCGUGGGGAGGCAAACAGG
rnacentral:rRNA from 1 species